rnacentral:rRNA from 1 species
CCAGACUCCUACGGGAGGCAGCAGUGAGGAAUAUUGGUCAAUGGGCGCGAGCCCGAACCAGCCAAGUCGCGUGAGGGAAGACGGUCCUAUGGAUUGUAAACCUCUUUUGUCGGGGAGCAAAAGACGCCACGUGUGGCGUUCCGAGAGUACCCGAAGAAAAAGCAUCGGCUAACUCCGUGCCAGCAGCCGCGGUAAUACGGAGGAUGCGAGCGUUAUCCGGAUUUAUUGGGUUUAAAGGGUGCGCAGGCGGAAGAUCAAGUCAGCGGUAAAAUUGGGGGGCUCAACCUCUUCGAGCCGUUGAAACUGGUUUUCUUGAGUGAGCGAGAAGUAUGCGGAAUGCGUGGUGUAGCGGUGAAAUGCAUAGAUAUCAGGAGGAACACCAGUGGCGAAGGCGACUUUCUGGACUGUACCUGACGCUGAGGCGCGAAAGCGUGGGUAGCGAACGGGAUUAGAUACCCCCGUAC